GCACUAGGUUUGUCCUGACGUGAGAUACGAAAGCGUGGGUAGCGAACGGGAUUAGAUACCCCGGUAGUCCACGCCGUAAACGAUGUCUACUAGAUUGCGGAUGUUCUGACACAUUCGCGAUCGAAGCAAAAGUGUUAAGUAGACCACCUGGGGAGUACGGUCGCAAGGCUAAAACUCAAAGGAAUUGACGGGGGCUCACACAAGCGGUGGAGCAUGUGGAUUAAUUCGAAGCAACGCGAAGAACCUUACCUGGGUUUGACAUGUUUGGAUGCCUAUCUAGAAACAGAUUUUGGCUGCCCUUCGGGGUGAAACUUACACAGGUGCUGCAUGGCUGUCGUCAGUUCGUGUCGUGAGACGUCGGGUUAAGUCCUUCAACGAGCGAAACCCUUGCCGUUAGUUACCAGCGAGUAAUGUCGGGGACUCUAACGGGACUGCCGGUGUUAAACCGGAGGAAGGCGGGGACGACGUCAAGUCAUCAUGGCCUUUAUGCCCAGGGCUUCACACGUGCUACAAUGGCGGUUACAGAGGGAAGCAAUAUCGCGAGAUGGAGCAAAUCUCUUAAAGACCGUCCCAGUACGGAUCGCAGGCUGUCAACUCGGCUGCGUGAAGGUGGAAUCGCUAGUAAUCGCGUAUCAGCAAUGACGCGGUGAA
rnacentral:rRNA from 1 species